rnacentral:tRNA from 3 species
GCUCAUGUGGCGGAAUAGGUAGACGCACAGGACUUAAAAUCCUGUAUUCGCAAGGGUGUACCAGUUCGAUUCUGGUCAUGAGCACCA